rnacentral:rRNA from 1 species
GAUGAACGCUGGCGGCGUGCCUAAUACAUGCAACUCGAGCGAACAGACGAGGAGCUUGCUCCUCUGACGUUAGCGGCGGACGGGUGAGUAACACGUGGAUAACCUACCUAUAAGACUGGGAUAACUUCGGGAAACCGGAGCUAAUACCGGAUAAUAUAUUGAACCGCAUGGUUCAAUAGUGAAAGACGGUUUUGCUGUCACUUAUAGAUGGAUCCGCGCCGCAUUAGCUAGUUGGUAAGGUAACGGCUUACCAAGGCAACGAUGCGUAGCCGACCUGAGAGGGUGAUCGGCCACACUGGAACUGAGACACGGUCCAGACUCCUACGGGAGGCAGCAGUAGGGAAUCUUCCGCAAUGGGCGAAAGCCUGACGGAGCAACGCCGCGUGAGUGAUGAAGGUCUUCGGAUCGUAAAACUCUGUUAUUAGGGAAGAACAAAUGUGUAAGUAACUAUGCACGUCUUGACGGUACCUAAUCAGAAGGCCGCGGCUAGCUACGUG